rnacentral:rRNA from 1 species
UACGUAGGGUGCGAGCGUUAAUCGGAAUUACUGGGCGUAAAGCGUGCGCAGGCGGUUCGUUGUGUCGGCGGUGAAAGCCCCGGGCUUAACCUGGGAAUGGCCGUUGAAACUGGCGAACUGGAGUGUGGCAGAGGGGGGUGGAAUUCCGCGUGUAGCAGUGAAAUGCGUAGAGAUGCGGAGGAACACCGAUGGCGAAGGCAGCCCCCUGGGCUGACACUGACGCUGACGACGAAAGCGUGGGGAGCAAACAGG